rnacentral:lncRNA from 1 species
UAAAAAGUAAACAUGUACCUGACUUAAUUGAGGUAACUAUAAAAAAUAAAAAAAGUGAAAUAGUUUAGACUCUCUAUAUGUAUUCUGUCUUUAUUUUAAAUUAGGCAAAAGUUAUUCUCUCACCUAAUUGACUACUUUUUUCUCUCACCCCCGCCGCUAUUCCUCACUGCCUCCUCUCCAACAAAAUCCUACGGAGGCAAUCCUCGUUUUCCUCAUUUCUUCCAUAUCACACAAAACCAAAGGCCAAAAACUUCAUUCUCCGGUGAAAUCUUUGGGAGAAGUGACACACUUAGAGGAUUCAUUAGAAAUUACAAGCCAAUUGGAGGUCAUUUAGAAGGUGAAAGAAAACAGAGAAGGAGAGAUCCAAUUUACAUGAGUGCACAGAUACAAAGUAUCCUAUGUAAGAAUUUGCAUAAUAAUUUUGGGCAGGAAGCAGAGGAGUCAACACAAGAAAAUUCUAGAAAUUUUUAUUUUGUCUUUUCUUCAUCCUCGUUGCUUUUUAUGGCAACCAUCACCCAUCUUCCUCACCGCGGCAAAAACCCAUGGGGACAGAUCUCCCUCUUCCUCAUCUUUGUCGCCGGUGAAAUCUCACACGACAAAUCCGUCUCUUCUUCGUUCUUGUAGUUUGUACAGUUGAAAUACAUUCAUACAAAUGUAUAUUUGUAUCUCUGAACUUCUUUUAGUCAUAAAGUAAUUUUGUUUUUAUAUUUCUAUAAGUGUGUUUGUAGUUUUGUAUUUAUAUUGUUAUAUUUUCUUCACCCUUCAAUCAAUUUCAUUUUAAAUGAAUUUAUAUAUUUUGAAUUUAUAUACAUUUAUAAUUUAGAUUUGUAUAUUUAUACAUAUAAUCUGAAUUUGUAUCAAUUCCUGUUUAUCUGAAAGAUUUGAGUAAAUGUAAAUUUGUAUUUUUAAAUUUUUUUAGUCAUAAAUCGAAUUUAUUUG